CGCGGGGCUCGAACUCACGGACUGCGAGAUCGUGACCUGAGCUGAAGUCGGACGCCCAACCGACGGAGCCACCCAGGCGCCCCGAUGUACAACACAUUCUUAAACACCUAUAGUUAAGCUCACAGCUAGCCCAGGUGUGCAGAGAGAUGGUAGAGAUCACCAUUCACACCAGCCUCGGUGACAGAGUGAUACGGAGCUCUUCGGAGGCUUGCCCAAGUCACACAAUCGUAACUGAGAGAAUAAGCUAGAACCUGGCUUCUGAUGCAAACACCAGCGUCUUUAUUCAAGUCGCAGUAUUUGUACAAUCAUUCUUCACAUUUGAGCCAAACUUUGCAGCUUAGUCACAGAACAUUUCACCCGUCUCUCAACAGCCCUCUGAGGCAGGUAAGGGAAGCAGACCGCCAUUACAGACGUGAGCUAGGACUUAACCCUCACAUGCGAUUGGAAACACCUGCCUCAUGCAACACUCCAUCAAUGGCCGUUUGUCCCUUGCUGCAACGACAGUGGAGCCCAUCUACCAUUUGUGUUCAAGCUUGCAUCUGGAAACCCGACAUGUCUUGCUUCGUCACAGACUGAAAGUAAACGUACGUGUGACAUGAGUCCCUGUAGGUGACUCUGGAGGAAAACUUUUGCUGCCCCCACAAUCCCAGGCUAGAAUUCUCUCCUGUAGAUUCCCAUCCAAAUCUCCAGCUUUGGCAGAAAUCUGACGAGUGAUUUUGUGCAACUUCAGCUCAGCUGAGGACACUUAAGAAAGUCAUGUUUGUGACAAAACCCGCUGCUGCUUCGACUGGAAAUGAAUUUGGCAGCAAUGGUCCGGAACGGUGGUAUGCUGAAUCCAAGAGCUAAAAGGUCAGUCUGCCUCCAGGACCAGAGCUGCAGCUAAUGGCGGGGGGGAGCCUUUAUGGCGUGGCUUGGAGUCAGUGUGCAGGAGCAAGACUUGAGGCACAGCAAGCUGUGUGACACUGGACAAGUAAUUUACCUGCUCUGAGCCUCAGUUUCCUUAACUGUACAAGAGACAAGAAAGUAUUACCUCUUGGGAUAGUUGGGAAUUACGUGAGAAAUUAAUGGAGUAAUGUUCAUGGAACACUUAGCACGGUGCCUGGACUGGGAUGGAACUCAAUAAACAUUAGCCAUUGUCAUUA